rnacentral:rRNA from 1 species
AUGGGGGUUCGGAUCUGGGCAGUGGCGUCACUCGGAGAUCGCUGGACGGAGAAAAUCGACAGCGGCGGCGCCAUGAUCGACGGCAGAAGCUGUUGCGUGAGAGAGGAAUUAGACAGAGACGGGAGAGUCAGGGAGGAAGAGAAGGGAGAAGGGCAUGGCGGCGCAAGGCUGGCCUGGGCUCGGGUGGCGCGGGAUCGCCGGCAGGAGGACUUGGCUGGACGGAGGCGGGGUAGUGGAGCCGCUGGUGAUGGCUCGGGAGGAACGGACGAGCUCAGGGACGAGCUCCUGUGCGUGGACGCGGCAGCGGCGGCGGCUCGGGCGGUUUGGCGAUUUGAGGUCGUUUCCGAGCCGUUCGAUCUCCGGUCAAGCGGUAAUGCAGCGGCCGCGUGCAAGUGUGGAUGGUCUGAGAGCGUUCAACGACGGCAACAGGGAGAACCGGCAACUAUGAAUGGAUCUGAUUUUUUGAAAAAUGACGGCAACAGAGUGUUCAUGCAAUGCGAAUGA